CCGCGGUAAUUCCUGCCUUUCCUGUCUCCACCUCUGCCACCCCCGUCUCCGCGAGAGCCGCUAAAACCGCCCCCUCGCGCUCUGGGGACAAGGAUAGGGUGUUCUAGAUAUCUCUGGGGAUCCUGGGAUUUCUGAGGAUUCACCUUGACCUUCUUCAGGCCCUUCAUCUAUAUCUAAAGCCUCUUGCUGAUCGGAAGAUAAAUGUUCCUCCACUGGCUGAUGACCAAGUGGCAAAAAAUCUCCCUCCCCCAGCUGAUGGCUAGAGUGGGAUCCUUCCCCAGCUUCCGAGGGACCCAGAAUUGCCCUCUGACAACUGGAUAAACUUGCAUUUCUGUGUGAAAUAACUUCCAGCAUCACCCUUGCCGGAGACAAAAGCUCUAAUGCCUCUUUGUCUCUCUGGGUUGCUAAAUGAUAUAAAGAUCUAUUAAUCUGUUCUGAAAAACUUGGCUCAAAUAAUGAAUUUGUUUCAGCAUUUGGAAACCUAAGUCUGACCCAUAAAAGCCGGCUUUUAAGUUCUUUAUCUGGGAUGGUCAUGGGAUGAGCUGACAUUGCACUUUUUAAGGUGGCUAGGAGAUUGAUUUGUUCCUGGCUGAAUCCACCCCCCAUGUUCUGAAUUUUGACCUGUCUUACGAAAAGCAAGUCCUCAAAGUCGAGCCAGAUGGUUUUUCCUGAUCACUGGCCAAGAGAUUGCAGGAGAGGAGUCCUGGGUUUCCUCCCUUCAGAUUCUGGCUUGGAGCUGUCUUUCUCUCAGCAGAGGUCAAAAUUUCUUCCCUGCAGCCUUCUCUGGUGGAGUGCCUCUCUCGAACUGUUCUUCAGGCUGACGGCUCUUCACGUCCUGGUGCAACCCACCUCUUGCCCUGGUGUUGCUCACCGAGUGCGUGCUUGCCUCUGGAAUGUCUUCGGUCAAGGUGCUCACCUUUGUGAAGCCACCUCGAGCUCACUGCAUGCUCACUGCGUGCCCACGUCAUGUGUGUGCCCAGUGCGUCCCUACCCAGGGACACCAGUUGUGAAUGGUGGCGAUCUCUUUUAUGGUCUGAGAUCACUCAUCGCACAGUAGUGGUGGUUUGAGAGUUCUUAUUUUUCAGCCUGGGCACCGAAGGAAGAGUCAGAAGCCGUUUUCUGAGGUUUCCAAGGUUGUUUGUUCUUUCUUAUCUAAGGAAUUUUCUCUCUGACUUAAAGCAGUUCGUCCUGCAAAUCGUUCAAGGCUUUCUGCCUGCCCUCCUGGGCAGGACUUAUCUUUUAUACUCUCAAUUACGCAUACACUGUUUACAAUUAAUCUCCAAUACAUGACACCUACAUUGCAUUGUCCAGUUUUCCCUUAAACCAAUCCAGAAUUGACAUCCUAACCCAAAAGAUGGACAGCAUGAAGACGAAGAAAGACAUACCACGCCCAACAUACCACCAUCUUGUGUUCAGACCCCUGAUAUAAACAAUUUUAAAACUUCACUUUUUUACCUUAAUACUCUAAUUUAUACUCUACUUAUUUUUUGCGACUAUGCAAUUCUUCAUAUAAAGGUGGUAAUUUCUCCCAGGGACUUAAAUCGAAGGGAUUUUGGACACCUUGCCAAGGCAUCUGAGCCCCCUGCCCAGGUUCUAGGGAAGCUAGGGGAAUAUCCUGGGUUCCCACAUAUUCUCCAUGAUGGAGCAGGUUCCUGGCAGCAAUAAGGUGAUGAUGUGGGCAUGAAGUUCAUGGAGAACUGCAGUUAGUGCCAAGGAUUAAUCUUGGAACAAUUUGCAAAGGGCUGUCUCCCUUGGGAGACACUCCAUGUUGGGUGCAAGAGAAGAGUUUUAGGAGGAAGAAGCAGCAGAGACAACAUUAAAUGAACUGAUCAUGAACACCAUUUUCUGUCCCCUUGUGCUGCUCAAUGGGAAGAAGGUAAAAAAAGUUGUGAAUAAAGUCAGGCAUGAGAAGAAAGGAAGAGUGGGAGGAAAAUGCUUUGAGAUUUGUUUUUACUUCUCCUUUUCCUGCUCUGACUUUUGACUGGCAGUUAAUUAAAUCAAUUUUCCCAGGUUGACUGUUUUGCCCAUGACAGUAAGGGAUGAAUGAUCUCCCCCUGUUCUGUCCCAGAAGGGGAGUGAUAGAGCAGCUUGGUGGGCACCUUGUGGUUAGCCAAUGUUAAAUCAUUGCAGGCUAUUAAAACUAAUAUCUGCCAGGUGAAUCUGUAAAAAAAAACUGUAGUGUAAAAAGAAUACAUAGGCAUUUAAUACAUCAGACACCCAUAAUAAUUGAAUGAUCUAGAUAUUCUUCACUGGUGAAUGCUAUCUCCCUUCCAAACCUUUGUAGCAGAGCCUUUCCUGCUUAUAUUUUGUACUUAUUCUGGGGUGAAAUCCUAUUUGCUUGAUACUUUCUUUCAUCUCAUUGUAUUUCCAAUCACCUGUAUUUCCCUGUUUCUCUCUCUGUCUGUGUUUAGGCCAAAAAAUUGUAUUUUCGUGUAUCAUUUUGUAUAGUAUAGGGGUGUUGUGUGAACGUUCUAUACAAUUAAUAUGAUAUGAACCUGUUUUGUUGUGUAACUUUGCCUCAUCAGUUAAUUUUAAAUCCCAGCUGGAGAGACCUCUGUUCUUCCUCAUUCAUUAUUUUAUUUUGCCUUCUCUUACUGUUUAUCUCCACUUUUGGUAUUAAUAUUAUGAAGUACUAGAAAAUUAUUUCCAAGGAAAGGUAAUGUAUUACAUUUUGAAUAUUGUAUUAUUGAGACAAUAGAACAAUCACAUUUAGGAAAGCACUUGUUUAUCAGUUUCAAAUAAUAAUUUUUUUUAAAUCUCCAGUCUUGCCUCAAGUGAAAGGGUAGGUGGGGAUGUAAGCAUUUUCUUGCUAUGCAAUUCGUUACUUUGUAUAACCUUCUUAUAGCUCCCUUAAUUUCUUGUGUCUAAAUUAAGGUCAUAAUAAUUUCCAUCUUUCCAUAUACAGAAGGAACUUCAAGCCUCUAAAAGUUGUCACCUGUUUUGAAUAAUUUUGUUUUUCACUAUAGCAUCCUUAAAAAUGGCAUUUCCAAUGUUAUUUUUCAUUUUAUUUUCCCCUUUGUAGUUAACAAACAGUAGAGUUUAAGUUUGUUUGAAAGCAAAGAUAAAAUGCUGAAUUACAUUGUCAAAUUUUUGUUUUGUUUUGGUCAAUAAAACAUAUAGCCUAUUUUAUAAGUAAAAUACAACACAAAUAAAUAAGUUCUACCAAAAAAAAAAAUCCCAAAAACUGUGGGAGAAAAUAUGCAAAUUUUGUCAUGCCUUUUGCACUGCUUCAUUUAAUAAAAUAGUUUAAAAAAAAAUCAGAUACCAAAAUAUGAUCUAUGUUAAACUUAACCAUUGCUUUUCAAAAUGAGGAUUUUUUAAAGUGAUAAUUGGAAAUUAAUUAUUAAUUGAUUAUAUCCUAAUUAAUGUUUGGUCUCAUCAAUUUUCUUUAGUGAAGAGGAAAAUAAGCUUUUAUUCAAAGCAGUAAUAAUUUAUUUGUAUCUUUUUUCUAGUACAAAAAAUCCUGGCUUCAACGUCAGUGAAGGAGGGAAAGAAGGUACUCCAGCUGGUAGAACAGAUAUUUCCCUGUUAUCCAAGGAGAAUACCGUGGUAAAGCAGGUUGUCCCCCUGUAGCCUGUGGAAAACUCCAUUCUGAAGCAGGCUCUGAGAGUUCUCAGAAGCCCUUCAGAGCCUACAUUGGAGCAGACUCCUGGCCCAUGGACAGAAAUUUAUGUGGUAAAAUGUUUUCUGGAAGGAAUUGUGUCCCAUGGGGAACCCAACCUGAAGCAGUUUGUACCUGUUUAUCUCCUGGGAAGGACUCAUGCUGAAACAGUUCUUGGAACACCAUAGCUUCUGGGAAGGACCCAUUUUGGAAUAGUUUAUGAAAGACUGAGUCCAGUGGGAGGGACCCCACUGAAGCAAGGGUGUAGCAUAGGGAGGGAAGAGUCAUGAACCAUUAGCAGAGUCUGGAAGGAAGGAUGGUGGGAAGGUAGUUUUAAUUUUGGUUUUGUUUCUCAUUUUCCUACUUUACUUUUACCUGAUAAUACAUUAAAUUAAUCUUUCCCAAGGCAAGUUUGCCCAUGAGGGUAAUUGGUAGUCUCCUUAUUCUUGUCUUGAGCUGCAACCUUUUUCAUCAUAUUUUCUCCUUGGUGAGUACCUAUCAGCUAGCCAAGGUCCACCUACUACAAUUCCUGUUUUUGUAAGAGGCGAGUGGUAAUCUACCCAUAUACUUUUACUUGGCGCUGUGUAAUUGAGAUGAUGCCUCCCUCUUCAUGAUUGUAGUGACUUACUCUUCAGGACACGAAUUUCCUAAAAAUCAAGUGUUUGUUAAAUAGCCAGUGCUAAGCUCGUAGUAAUAACUACUAUAAAAGUUGUGAAUCAGGUGCAUUCUGUUUCAAAUGAUCAUGCAUUUCUCUAGCACAUAGCCUUUUUAAAAGGAGAGCUCCUAGCAAAUUAAUUAUUUUUAUUCAGAUUUCACAGACUGGUUUGUAGAUUCAGAGUUCUAUUCUUGUACACAGUUACUAGUUCUGACUGGUUUUAACCUUUUAUUUUCCACACAGCCUCUGACUAAAUUUGAGGAUGUAUUUAUACAUGAUUACUGUGCAUUUCAGGACUCAGGUCCUGAAAAGUUCAGCAUGCCAUUUGGAUGUGUGCAGGAACUGGCAGUUUCUCUGUCAGUUGUCAGUGCAGAGUCAGACUGAGUGAAGUUUCAGGACAAAGGGAAGAAUUUAUUCAAAGAAAGGUGAAGCCUUGGAAUAGACUGCUUAGGGAUAUGGCUGAGUCACCAUACCUGGAAUGUCAACAACUGACUGGAUAUGGGAGGGCAACAGUGUAUUUGAUAUGAUAUUGUUUGGUCAAAGGCUGGACUCCAUGAACUCAGAGGUCAUUUCCAACCUAAAUGAUUCUGUGAUCCUGUGAAGAAUGAAGGUGCUUAAUAUGAGAUGCUAACAAAAAUUAUAGAAAAUUAUAAAAAAUAUAGAAAUGAUGAAAAUUACAUAUUAUAUCACUGUCCAGAAAUGGAAUUAUCACAAUGUCUUGGAGUGAGUUAGGAUGAUAGUCUAUUCCGUGAUCCUCUGUUUUAUGCCCAAAAUUGGUUGUUGUAUCUUUAAGGCCUGAGACUGGAUGUGUGCAGGGCUGGGGAGGGGGAGCUUUGGGGUUUUUGGUGGACAUUUUUGAAGACUCAUUGCCCAGGUGUUCUAUGGCUCUGUGAAGUUCACUUCUGCUUGGCUAGCUUGGUUUUGUUGGUCAAGGCUAAAAGCUUUGCCUUGCCCGACUUGGAGAAGCUGCAGUAGAAAUCUUUCAUCUGCAUUGAUGUGAACUCAACAGCUGCAGGUUUGAGAAUGGAGUGGGACUGGCAGGAGCAGGGCUGCCCAGUUCCAACCCCAAGCUUCUGGGAGACAAGGGGGAGAAAGCACACCAAGAGGCUCCAGACCGGGCCUUUUUGCCUGCCGUGACUACUGUGGAGAGGAGGUCGACACCAGAGAGCCACCAGGUUCUUGCCUUCUGCUGGAACUCCUCUGUGGAAGCUCCUCUUCCCUUAGAGAGAAAGCUAGUACUAUCUUGAACUAUGUGUUGGGAAGGAGUAUUUCUCCAACAUUUCCACAAUUCUCUUGGCUUUUUUGGGUUUUUGUUCUUGGGGAGGGGUGGGAAUUCUGAUAAUUUGGUGUUUAGCAGUUAUUCACUUUCUUCCUUGCCUUGAGGUGUUUUUUUAUUCUGUGGUUGAUAAGCCAUUGGUUUGGUUUAGGGUUUUUUUUUGUUUCCUUCUACUAAUAUUAAUUUUCUAUUGGUGGAGGAGGGUUGUUAAAAUCCUUUAGAGGACACUGCUCCUUUAAGAGUGUGCUCUCUUAAAUAUGACUUGAAACUGAGACAUGGAACCUUCUCUCUAUCUCUGUGGAUACAAAGACAAUUGUCUAUAUUUUCUCACUCGUAAGAUUGCACUUACCCACAAGCUGCUUCUCUGUAAAUACAUAUCUGCAUAUUUUUUUAGUAGUGUUGGGAGUAGGCUGAGAGAAAUUAUCUGAACUCUGCCCAGUAUUAUAAGACCACACCUGGAGUAUUUCAUACAGUGCUUGUCUCUCCAGUACAAGAGACACAUAGAUACAUUGGGUACAGUCAAACAAAGCAAUACCAAGAAGAUGAUGGGACUGGAGCAUUUCUCUUAAAUGAAAAGGUUCAAAGAGAUAAGACUGUUCAGCCUGGAGGAGAAGAUGCUUCACAGGUUCUUUACAGUGGUGCCCAGUGACAGGGCUAGAUGCAAUGAAUUGGAACACAGAAGACUCCAUCUGAACACCUGGAAGCACUUUUUCAAUUGUGAGAGUGACAGAGCACUGGCACAGGUUGCCCAGGAGAACAAUGGAACAUCUGUUCCUGGAGAAAUUAAAAAGAUGUCUGUAGAUUACUCUGGGCAACAGGCUUGAGGUAGCCCUGCUCGAGCAGCGCAUAGGACGAGAAGACCUCCAGGAGUCCCUUCCAGCCUCAACCAUUAUGUGAUUUUAGAAUGGUUCUAGAAAAGUUCUGUGCUGCAACAUCCCAUUAAAUGACAGAUUAUUAAGGUAAGAAGCUGUUACAGAAGUCCUUUGAUUUAAUAAAGAUUAAUGUAGUAAACAGAGCUAAAUUAAAAGUAUUAAGAAUGAUAAUUAAUAUGAAGUGCCUUAUUUGGAAAACUGUAGUUCAGUAGAAUCCACUUUUCAUGUGGAUUUUGACAAACAUGGCCGUCAGAAAUACAAGUGACUCUACAUCAGGGAAUUUGGAGGGUGAGACUAUGAUUCCAUAACUGACUUCCAAAUAGUUGCAGGUUAAUAUACUAGUGUUCCUGUACCAAUAGAUAAGUUUAUUUCUAUUACCCAGUCCAUUCAGGACAAAUAAAAGUGGCCUUAGGACAUUUUCAAGCCUAAUUUUACAAGUUUAUUACAACAGUACAGAGUGAAUAAAUCUAAAUUGGUAGCAUCAUUGGGCCUGUGAUUGAAAACCUGGAUCACAAAUUUAUCUAUACCUUAUCAGAGUGAUGAAAUAGUAAGCAAGAAUAGUCAGAGGAAGCGCAAAAGAGGAAAUGAGGUAAACAAAGUUGCAUUAUUGAAUAGGGCCAUAAAACUCCUUUUUUUAAAAACUCAGAGUAAGUCAGCUAGCCAAUAUACUCUGUAUUGUUAACCUUAAUAUUUCUCUUUGAUACAAACAGGAAAUAUGUAAUUUAAGAAUUGCACAUCCAGAAUUUUUAGUUUCCACAACUGUCUAAUUGUGACACUAGACAAAUCAUGUGAGCUGUAGUUAAGAUGCUCUUCUGAACAACCAUUCUCAAAUUUCUUUACUGAAAUUAAUCUGAAGAAAUGUAUAUGCACAAUGCAAAAACGGUUCCAGAUUGCGUAAGUAUAAACCUCUGUAAAUAAUAUACACUUACUUUACAGAAAGUGAAUUUACUGAAGAAACAAAAUAAUGCUCCAAAGAAUUUAUAAGUUGCAGUAAGAAACCACAAAUGAAGGAAUAGUCCAGAGGCUUUUUUCAGAUUUGAAAGCUUAGAACUUAAAUUUUAAGCCUGUGCAGAGGCAAAUUACUUAUUUUGAGAAAGUUACUACUCGCAUUGUAAGGUUUUGUGUGGUCCAGCUGGACAGUUCUUAUAGGUUUUAGCUGAUUGCCAUAAAGUAGUAUCAAACUUAAACCAAUGAUGACAUUGUAAAAAACAUACAAA